rnacentral:rRNA from 1 species
ACGGGGUGCAGCAGGCGCGAAAACUUCACACUGGGGGGAACCCCGAUGAGGGAAAUCCUAGCUGCUAGGACAUUUGUUCUAGCUUUUCUCAAGCGUAGAUAACUUGAGGAAUAAGGGCUGGGUAAGACGGGUGCCAGCCGCCGCGGUAAUACCUGCAGCCCAAGUGGUGGUCGAUUUUAUUGAGUCUAAAACGUUCGUAGCCGGUUUGGUAAAUCUUUGGGUAAAUCGGGAAGCUUAACUUUCCGACUUCCGAAGAGACUGUCAAACUUGGGACCGGGAGAGGCUAGAGGUACUUCUGGGGUAGGGGUAAAAUCCUGUAAUCCUAGAAGGACCACCGGUGGCGAAGGCGUCUAGCCUAGAACGGAUCCGACGGUGAGGGACGAAGCCCUGGGUCGCAAACGGGAUUAGAUGCCCCGGUAGUUCCAGGGUGUAACCGCUGCAGACUUGGUGUUGAAGGCUCUUCGGGGGCAUUCAGGUGCCGGAGAGAAGUUGUUAAGUCUUGCUACUUGGGGAGUACGUCCGCAAGGAAUGAAACUUAAAGGAAUUGGCCGGGGAGCAC